rnacentral:rRNA from 1 species
UACGUAGGGUGCGAGCGUUGUCCGGAUUUAUUGGGCGUAAAGGGCUCGUAGGCGGCGUGUCGCGUCGGGAGUGAAAGCCCGUUGCUUAACGGCGGGUUGGCUUUCGGUACGGGCAUGCUGGAGUGCGGCAGGGGAGACUGGAAUUCCUGGUGUAGCGGUGAAAUGCGUAGAGAUCAGGAGGAACACCCGUGGCGAAGGCGGCGUCCUGGUCUGCAACUGACGCUGUGGCGCGAAAGCUAGGGGAGCGAACGGG